UACGUAGGUGGCAAGCGUUGUCCGGAUUUAUUGGGCGUAAAGCGAGCGCAGGCGGAAAGAUAAGUCUGAUGUGAAAGCCCCCGGCUUAACCGAGGAAUUGCAUCGGAAACUGUGUUUCUUGAGUGCAGAAGAGGAGAGUGGAACUCCAUGUGUAGCGGUGGAAUGCGUAGAUAUAUGGAAGAACACCAGUGGCGAAGGCGGCUCUCUGGUCUGUAACUGACGCUGAGGCUCGAAAGCAUG
rnacentral:rRNA from 1 species